rnacentral:lncRNA from 1 species
GAUAUUUCAUAAAUUGAAUCAAUUGCUUUUAAUCCAAAUUUGACUAUUGAAAGAUAGUAAUUAAAGAUAAAAUAGUUAUAAUUUUCUAACAGGAAAUAUGAUAUAGAGAAUUUUGAAAAUCGGCAAAAAGCUCCUAGGCGAUAUUAUCGAAGCAUCACUCCGACUUCCCACCUCCGGCGCCGGUGGAGCUGUAGCUCGCCGGCGUCCGGAUAAACUUCCUCUACUCCGUUUUCUCUGCAGCUUUCUUAGUCCUCUCUGUAAUCUUUUAGCUCUUUUAACCCUUUUUUUGCUCUUGUUAAUUUUUUCCACUUUUCCCCGAACCCUUUUUACAAACCUUUCCAUGUCGAAAUCUAGAUGUAGUCCAUGCUUUCAUCUCCCAGUCGGUUCUACGCUUCCCGCCGCCUGUGUCUUCCACACACUCCUUUUAAAGUCAACUUUUGCAUCUCACGUCGCCUAUCAAAGGGAGAACGCUUCCCCCACCAAGUGCUCAACUUGGCUGCGGC